rnacentral:rRNA from 1 species
GAUGAACGCUGGCGGCGUGCCUAAUACAUGCAAGUCGAGCGAACGGACGAGAAGCUUGCUUUUCUGAUGUUAGCGGCGGACGGGUGAGUAACACGUGGAUAACCUACCUAUAAGACUGGGAUAACUUCGGGAAACCGGAGCUAAUACCGGAUAAUAUUUUGAACCGCAUGGUUCAAAAGUGAAAGACGGUCUUGCUGUCACUUAUAGAUGGAUCCGCGCUGCAUUAGCUAGUUGGUAAGGUAACGGCUUACCAAGGCAACGAUGCAUAGCCGACCUGAGAGGGGGAUCGGCCACAUUGGAACUGAGACCCGGUCCAGCCCCCUGCGGGAGGCAGCAGGAGGGAAUCUUCCGAAAGGGGCGAAAGCCGGCAGGGCCAACGCCGGGUGAUUGAUGAAGGGUUUCGGACCGUAAAACUUUUUUAUUAGGGAAAAAAAAAUGUGUAAGUAACCGUGCAACUCUGGACGGGCCCUAAUCAGAAAGCCCCGGCUAACUACGG